GGCAGUCGUUGCACAGACACUUUGGUGACUCUAGAUAACCUCAGGCUGAUCGCACGUCCCCGUGACGGCGACAACGCAUUCGGAUGUCUGCCCUAUCAACUUUCGAUGGUACUUUCUGCGCCUACCAUGGUGACCACGGGUAAUGGGGAAUCAGGGUUUGAUUCCGGAGAGGGAGCCUGAGCAACAGCUACCACAUCCAAGGAAGGCAGCAGGCGCGCAAAUUACCCACUGUAACGGCA